GAGAAAAGAAAAGAAAAAGAGAGAGAGAAUGGAGAAAGGAGAAGAAGUUAGUGUUUGGGAGAGAGGAAGAACAGAGAUGACAAAUCGCCAUUGGAGAUCGAAUCCAAGGCAAGAAACUUCGAAGCAAUACUUCUCUCAGUGCUGGAAAAGGAGUUCGGGUGGUGGAAUCCACUCAUUCCGGCAAGAAAAUCCGAGAACGGACAAAGUUUCUUGAAGUUCUUGGACGAGAAUCAGACGAAAAUCAGAGUUUAGUCUGACUUCGGGUAGAGCGAUCGAAAAUAAAAAAUGUACCAGUCGAUACGGGGAGGUGUUCGAGAGCUGUGCGGUCACAGAGGGGUGUCGUUCCGGAGCGUCAGUCCCUGGUCGGUU